AUGAACGCUAGCUACAGGCUUAACACAUGCAAGUCGCGGGGCAGCAUGAAGGAUGCUUGCAUCUUUUGAUGGCGACCGGCGCACGGGUGAGUAACGCGUAUCCAACCUGCCUGUUACCACGGCACAGCCCGUCGAAAGGCGGAUUAAUGCCGUAUGUGGUCCUUUGCGGGCAUCUAAUUAGGACUAAAGGUUCAGCGGUAACGGAUGGGGAUGCGUCCGAUUAGCUAGACGGCGGGGUAACGGCCCACCGUGGCUACGAUCGGUAGGGGUUCUGAGAGGAAGGUCCCCCACACUGGAACUGAGACACGGUCCAGACUCCUACGGGAGGCAGCAGUGAGGAAUAUUGGUCAAUGGGCGCAAGCCUGAACCAGCCAAGUAGCGUGAGGGAAGACUGCCCUAUGGGUUGUAAACCUCUUUUGUGCGGGGAUAAAGUGUGGGACGUGUCCCAUAUUGCAGGUACCGCACGAAUAAGGACCGGCUAAUUCCGUGCCAGCAGCCGCGGUAAUACGGAAGGUCCGGGCGUUAUCCGGAUUUAUUGGGUUUAAAGGGAGUGCAGGCCGUCCUUUAAGCGUGCUGUGAAAUGCCGCGGCUCAACCGUGGCACUGCAGCGCGAACUGGAGGACUUGAGUACGCACGAGGUAGGCGGAAUUCGUGGUGUAGCGGUGAAAUGCUUAGAUAUCACGAAGAACUCCGAUUGCGAAGGCAGCUUACCGGAGCGCAACUGACGCUGAGGCUCGAAAGCGCGGGUAUCGAACAGGAUUAGAUACCCUGGUAGUCCACGCCGUAAACGAUGAUUACUAGGUGUUGGUGGGUACGACCCAUCGGUGCCGCAGCAAACGCAAUAAGUAAUCCACCUGGGGAGUACGUUCGCGAGAAUGAAACUCAAAGGAAUUGACGGGGACCCGCACAAGCGGUGGAGCAUGUGGUUUAAUUCGAAGCAACGCGAAGAACCUUACCUGGUCUUGACAUCCCUAUGAAUAACGGGCAAUGCCGUUAGUACUUCGGUACAUAGGAGACAGGUGGUGCAUGGUUGUCGUCAGCUCGUGCCGUGAGGUGUCGGCUCAAGUGCCAUAACGAGCGCAACCCCUGUCCAUAGUUGCCAUCAGGUUAUGCUGGGCACUCUGUGGAGACUGCCGCCGUAAGGUGUGAGGAAGGUGGGGAUGACGUCAAAUCAGCACGGCCCUUACGUCCGGGGCUACACACGUGUUACAAUGGGGCAUACAGCGAGUUGGAUGUGCGCAAGUACGUCCGGAUCAAUAAAGUGCCUCUCAGUUCGGACUGGGGUCUGCAACCCGACCCCACGAAGCUGGAUUCGCUAGUAAUCGCGCAUCAGCCAUGGCGCGGUGAAUACGUUCCCGGGCCUUGUACACACCGCCCGUCAAGCCAUGAAAGCCGGGGGCGCCUGAAGUCCGUGACCGCGAGGGUCGGCCUAGGGUGAAACCGGUGAUUGGGGCU
rnacentral:rRNA from 1 species